rnacentral:rRNA from 1 species
GACGUAGGGCGCGAGCGUUGUCCGGAUUUAUUGGGCGUAAAGAGCUCGUAGGCGGCUUGUCGCGUCGGCUGUGAAAACCCGCGGCUCAACUGUGGGCGGGCAGCUGAUACGGGCAGGCUGGAGUUCGGUAGGGGAGACUGGAAUUCCUGGUGUAGCGGUGAAAUGCGCAGAUAUCAGGAAGAACACCCGUGGCGAAGGCGGUUCUCUGGGACGGUACUGACGCUGAGACGCGAAAGCGUGGGGAGCGAACAGG